rnacentral:rRNA from 1 species
ACAUGCAGAGAACUUUCCAGAGAUGGAUUGGUGCCUUCGGGAACUCUGACACAGGUGCUGCAUGGCUGUCGUCAGCUCGUGUCGUGAGGAUGUUGGGUUAAGUCCGUAACGAGCGCAACCCUUGUCCUUAGUUACCAGCACGUUAUGGUGGGCACUCUAAGGAGACUGCCGGUGACAACCGGAGGAAGGUGGGGAGUGACGUCAAGUCAUCAUGGCCCUUACGGCCUGGGCUACACACGUGCUACAAUGGUCGGUACAAAGGGUUGCCAAGCCGCGAGGUGGAGCUAAUCCCAUAAAACCGAUCGUAGUCCGGAUCGCAGUCUGCAACUCGACUGCGUGAAGUCGGAAUCGCUAGUAAUCGUGAAUCAGAAUGUCACGGUGAAUACGUUCCCGGGCCUU